rnacentral:rRNA from 1 species
UGGGGAAUAUUGCACAAUGGGCGCAAGCCUGAUGCAGCCAUGCCGCGUGUAUGAAGAAGGCCUUCGGGUUGUAAAGUACUUUCAGUCGGGAGGAAGGUGUCAAGGUUAAUACCUUUGCUCAUUGACGUUACCCGCAGAAGAAGCACCGGCUAACUCCGUGCCAGCAGCCGCGGUAAUACGGAGGGUGCAAGCGUUAAUCGGAAUUACUGGGCGUAAAGCGCACGCAGGCGGUUUGUUAAGUCAGAUGUGAAAUCCCCGGGCUCAACCUGGGAACUGCAGCUGAUACUGGCAAGCUUGAGUCUCGUAGAGGGGGGUAGAAUUCCAGGUGUAGCGGUGAAAUGCGUAGAGAUCUGGAGGAAUACCGGUGGCGAAGGCGGCCCCCUGGACGAAGACUGACGCUCAGGUGCGAAAGCGUGGGGAGCAAACAGG